rnacentral:rRNA from 1 species
UUGGCGUUGAAGUAAGCGGGGACGGAGUAGGGUAGCCGAGCGCACGGUUGGUUGUGCGUUCAAGCCUGUAGAUUGGAUUGCCAGGACCCGAUAGGGACAAACGGCAGUCCGCGUAAUCGAGAGGUGAUGAGGUCGGGGCUUGCCCCGGAUACUCGGUAAUCCCAAGCUUCCAAGAAAAGCCGCGUACAGAGCCCCUUUAGUGUCCGUACCGCAAACCGACUCAGGUGGGCGGGGUGAGUAUCCCAAGGCGCGUGAGAGAACCCUGGUUAAGGAACUCGCAAAAUGACACCGUAACUUCGGGAGAAGGUGUGCCGGUCUGCGUGAAGGAGUUUACCUCCGGAGCGUGGGCUGGUUGCAGAGAAAUGGGGGUUGUGACUGUUUACUAAAAACACAGGACUCUGCGAAGUCGUAAGACGACGUAUAGGGUCUGAUGCCUGCCCGGUGCUGGAAGGUUAAGGGGACGAGUCAGCGAAAGCAAAGCUCAGAACCGAAGCCCCAGUAAACGGCGGCCGUAACGAUAACGGUCCUAAGGUAGCGAAAUUCCUUGUCGGGUAAGUUCCGACCUGCACGAGGGCAUAACAACAUCCCCGCUGUCUCGACCAGGGACUCAGCGAAAUUGUAUCGGGGGUGAAGAUACCCUCUACCCGCGGCAAGACGGAAAGACCCCAUGAACCUUUACUGCAACUUGGCAGUGAUUUUCGGGAUAUUCUGCGUAGGAUAGGUGGGAGGCUGUGAAGCCGGGCUUCUGGGUUCGGCUGAGCCAACGUUGAAAUACCACCCUGGAUAUUCUGGACAUCUAACCUAGAUCCAUCACCUGGAUCAGGGACACUGCCUGGUGGGCAGUUUGACUGGGGCGGUCGCCUCCUAAAAAGUAACGGAGGCGUGCGAAGGUUCCCUCAUCCUGAUUGGAAACCAGGAGUAGAGUGCAAACGCACAAGGGAGCUUAACUGUGAGACCGACAGGUCGAACAGGUGCGAAAGCAGGCGUUAGUGAUCCGGUGGUUCUGUAUGGAAGGGCCAUCGCUCAUCGGAUAAAAGGUACUCUGGGGAUAACAGGCUGAUCGCGCCUGAGAGUUCACAUCGGCGGCGCGGUUUGGCACCUCGAUGUCGGCCCAUCGCAUCCUGGGGCUGGAGCAGGUCCCAAGGGUUCGGCUGUUCGCCGAUUAAAGCGGUACGCGAGCUGGGUUUAAAACGUCGUGAGACAGUUUGGUCCCUAUCUGCCGUGGGCGUAGGACACUUGAGAGGAGCUGCUCAUAGUACGAGAGGACCUGAGUGGACGCACCUCUGGUGUUCCGGUUGUCCUGCCAAGGGCAUAGCCGGGUAGCCAUGUGCGGAACGGAUAACCGCUGAAAGCAUCUAAGCGGGAAGCCGGCCUCAAGACUAGGUGUCCCGAGUCGAAAGACUCCUAAAGACCCCUUGUAGACUACAAGGUUGAUAGGCCGGGUGUGGAAGCGAAGUAAUUCGCGGAGCUAACCGGUACUAAUAGGUCGUGCGGCUUGAUCAC